CACGUAGGGUGCGAGCGUUGUCCGGAUUUAUUGGGCGUAAAGCGCGCGUAGGCGGCGCGGUAUGUCGUGCGUGAAAUCUCCCGGCUUAACUGGGAGGGGCCGUGCGAAACUGCCGGGCUUGAGGUCGGAAGGGGAAAGUGGAAUUCCGGGUGUAGUGGUGGAAUACGUAGAUAUCCGGAGGAACACCAGCGGCGAAGGCGGCUUUCUGGUCCGAUACUGACGCUGAGGUGCGAAAGCGUGGGGAGCGAUCCGG
rnacentral:rRNA from 1 species